rnacentral:rRNA from 1 species
UGCUCUAUGUAAUCAUUUAGGGUUAAACCUGCUCAAUGAUUAUUUAAAUAGCCGCAGUACAUUGACUGUGCAAAGGUAGCAUAAUCAAUUGGCUUAUAAUUGAAGUCUCGUAUGAAUGGGAUCCCGGGGAAUAACUGUCUUAAUUAAGUACAUAGAAAUUACUUAGUGAGUGAAAAAUCUCACGUAUAGUAGAAAGACGAGAAGACCCUAGAAAUUUUUUAAAAUAUAUAUUUUAUAUUCUAUUUUGUUGGGGCGACAUAGUAACAGUUAACUUACUAUUUAACAUGCUAUUUAUUAGUAGAAAGAAUAAAUUACUCUAGGGAUAACAGCAUAAUUCAUUUGAGUUUGUGACCUCGAUGUUGGACUAGGAAAUAAUUUAUUUAGAAGAUAAAUUUAAAAGGCUCUGUUCGAGCCAUAUUUUCCUAC